rfam:TPA: Bos taurus chromosome 4, whole genome shotgun sequence.
UCCCUGGUGGCUCAGCAGUAAAGAAUCUGUCUGUAAUGCAGCAGACCCAGGUUCGAUCCCUGGGUGGGGAA